rnacentral:rRNA from 1 species
AGUGAAGCGGCAACAGCUCAAAUUUGAAAUCUGGCCUCUUCGGGGUCCGAGUUGUAAUUUGUAGAGGGUGUUUCGGGCGCGAUGCCGGUCUAAGUUCCUUGGAACAGGACGUCGCAGAGGGUGAGAAUCCCGUACGCGACCGGCAAUCAAGCCUGUGUGAAGCCCCUUCGACGAGUCGAGUUGUUUGGGAAUGCAGCUCAAAAUGGGUGGUAAAUUUCAUCUAAAGCUAAAUAUUGGCCAGAGACCGAUAGCGGACAAGUAGAGUGAUCGAAAGAUGAAAAGCACUUUGGAAAGAGAGUCAAACAGUACGUGAAAUUGUUGAAAGGGAAGCGCUUGCAAUCAGACCGGUCCGGAGGCGAUCAGCCGCUGCUUGUUCAGCGGUGCACUCGCCUGCGAUCCGGCCAGCAUCGGUUUGGGCGGUGGGAUAAAAGUCCCGGGAAUGUAGCUUCUCUCGGGGAGUCUUAUAGCCCGGGUCGCAAUGCCGCCCGCCCGGACCGAGGACCGCGCUUCGGCUAGGAUGCUGGCGUAAUGGUUGCAAGCG